rnacentral:lncRNA from 1 species
AAUUUAACCAAACUUGGCCAUAAUCAUCAUUGGGGUAUCUAGUUUAAAAAAUGUGUCCAGUGCCCCGCCAAACCAACCAAGAUGGCCGCCAUGGCUAAAAAUAGAACAUAGGGAUAAAAUGCAGUUUUUGGCUUAUAACUCAAAAACCAAAGCAUUUAGAGCAAAUCUGACACGAGUAAAAUUGUUCAUCAGGUCAAGAUCUAUUUGCCCUGAAAUUUUAGAUUAAUUGGACAUUCUGUUGUUGGGUUGCUGCUCCCUGAAAUGGUAAUUUUAAGGAAAUUUUGCUGUUUUUGGUUAUUAUCUUGAAUAUUAUUAUAGAUAGAGAUAAACUGUAAACAGCAAUAUUGUUCAGCAAAGUAAGAUCUACAAAUAAGUCAACAUGACCAAAAUGGUCAGUUGACCACUUUAGGAGUUAUUGCCCUUUAUAGUCAAGUUUUAACCAUUUUUCGUAAAUCUUAGUAAUCUUUUAGAAAAAUCUUCUCCUCUGAAACUACUGGGCCAAUUUAACCAAACUUGGCCAUAAUCAUCAUUGGGGUAUCUAGUUAAAAAAAUUUGUCCGGUAACUCGGCCAACAAACCAAGAUGGCCUCCAUGGCUAAAAAUAGAACAUGGGGGUAAAAUGCAGUUUUUGGCUUAUAACUCAAAAACCAAAGCAUUAAGAGCAAAUCUGACAGGAUGUAAAAUUGUUGAUCAGGUCAGGAUCUAUCUGCCCUGGAAUUUUCAGAUGAAUUGGAUAAUCGGUUGUUAGGUUGCUGCCCCUGAAUUGGUAAUUUUGAGGAAAUUUUGCUGUUUUUUUGUUAUUAUCUUGAAUAUUAUUAUAGAUAGAGAUAAACUGUAAACAGCAAUAAUGUACAGCAAAGUAAGAACUAAAAAUAAGUCAGUAUGACCAAAAUAGUCAAUUGACCCCCUAAGGAGUUAUUGCCCUUCAUAGUCAAUUUUUAACAAUUUUCUUAAAAUUUGAAGAUUUUCAAUAACAAUUACCACAGAAAGUACUGUUAGAGAUAGAGAUAAUUGUAAGCAGCAAGAAUGUUUAGUAAAGUAAGAUCUACAAACACAUCACCAUCACCAAAACACAAUUUUGUCAUGAAUCCAUCUGUGUCCAUUGUUUAAUAUUCACAUAGACCAAGGUGAGCGACACAGGCUCUUUAGAGCCUCUAGUUUUAAUGUGGAAAAAUUAAG